rnacentral:misc_RNA from 1 species
UCCGGUUUGUCACCGGCGGUCCCCUUAGAGUGCCCAACUAAAUGCUGGCAACUAGAAGCGAGGGUUGCGCUCGUUACGGGACUUAACCCAACAUCUCACAACACGAGCUGACGACAGCCAUGCAGCACCUGUCUCUGCGUUCCUUUCGGCACUCCAACCAUUACGUCGGAUUCGCAGGAUGUCAAGGGUAGGUAAGGUUCUUCGCGUUGCAUCGAAUUAAACCACAUGCUCCACCGCUUGUGCGGGCCCCCGUCAAUUCAUUUGAGUUUCAACCUUGCGGCCGUACUUCCCAGGCGGAAGACUUAUCGCGUUAGCUUCAAGACUGAUAGGUUCCCCUACCAACCUUUAGUCCUCAUCGUUUACAGCGUGGACUAC